AAGUCGUAACAAGGUUUCCGUAGGUGAACCUGCGGAAGGAUCAUUACAACGUAUCCACGUAUAAACAAACGCGAACGUCCCGUUAGGGGUAAAAACCAGGGGAGCCUGGCAUGAAGUUAUUCGGCUGAACUGCUAAUUAUGUGCUUUGUCGAUGGAGUUGCUCUUGCAGCAACUGAAGCACGAGUUCGGCCCGGUUAAUCCGGACUUCGUUUACCUCUAACGUGUAUCAACCAUCGGUUAAUAUGUACCUUUAUUAACCCUAUGUACCUUUUGAACUAAACUAUUCUUCGAUACCACAGAAGCCUUGUUGGCUUAGCCACGGCUGAAGGGUUCGUAGAAAUUGAUACCAAAUUAAGAACAAUUCUUAACAACGGAUAUCUUGGUUCUC
rnacentral:misc_RNA from 1 species